rnacentral:lncRNA from 1 species
GUAAAGUAAAGUUCUGUUUCCAUGGGAAUAGAAUAGUAUCUCAUACUGGUUUUUUAAAAUAGUAAGUUGAAUUUGAGAAGGGCAAUCAUCUAUACCCACAUGGCUUAACUAUAGGGACUGAGAACGGAGACUACCUGUGGGUUAUUUGAGGACAUUUUGCUUCCUGUUUUUUCUUUUUUUUUUUUUUUUGAAGACAUUUUGAUUUUUACUUUGGCCAUUUUUAUUUCUCUAAUGAUGAUAAUCAAGAAGAAAAGCACGCUAAUGGAGUUUCUCUCAUCAGUAUAUCUUUUAUCAGUAUAUAGGCUCAUUCGUACUGCCAAGAGGGUUCAGAGUUCAUGUGAGCGUCAGGACUGGAAGAUACCUUAUAUAGAUCACCUUUUCUAAAUAUCUCCUUUUUCACCAGGAAAAAUUGAGAUUCUGGGACAAUAGACCCUUUUUUAUUUUGGCGAGAGGUGCUAAAGUUGGGCUACUUUAAGAAACAUCACUUCUUCUCCAAGCCUCAAGUUUUUUACUCAACCAAACUGAAUGACUGCUUGUCCUCUUGAAACCAGCCUGGACUUGCCUGAGAAGACAAAGUGGUUUCAUUAUUUGCUGUGACUCACAAAGAAAACUCCAUGCUAGCAUUAAGAUGGAACACAGGAAAGGAUGGAGGAAAAGAUAAAGAGACCAAGGUCACACAGCUUUAUGUGACAGAGCUGGAAUCCAGUCCUAUGUCUGGGUGUCUCCAAAGCCCAUGCUCUGAACCUCAAGGAUGUGGUGUCUCCCUAAGGAAAAAUGAUAGUGAGACUGGACAAGACUGCACAGGCAUGGAAACUAAGCCUAAUGAAGCCACCACAGAGGACCCCACAAGUUUUGGGGAUUAAAUUCAAAAUAAUUCAAGGAGGAUCCAUUAGGGGUUAUUUUAGUUAUCUCUUGCCACAUGAGAAAACUCCCUAACUUGUAGUAUCUUAAAACUACAACAAUUUGUUAUUUCUCACAAUUCUAUGGGUUAGGAGUUCAGGCAUGGCUUGGGAUAAAUUGUUCUUCUCCUCUGUAUGGUGUAGACUGACUCACUCAGCUUUAUGCAAUUGGUAACUGGGCAGUCCUGGAAUGCAAAGGAGGCCGUAUUCAAUGUCUGGCGCUUAGUGCUUUUCUUUGUGGCCUUUCCACAUGGCAAGCUGGGCUUCUUCACAGCAUAGUGGUCUCAGAGCAGGUUCCCAAGAUGGAGGAAGUAGAAACCAACAGUCCUGUUUAAGGCUAGGCCUGGAACUAGAAUGUUGUCACUUCUGUGUAUUCUACUGGUGAAAGCAUACAUCUUCUCCUGCCCUCGGACACCAGUGCUUCUGGUUCUCAAGGCUUCAGACUCCUGCCAGGAUUUACACAAUUGAUCCUCCAGUUUUCAAGCCAUUGUAUUCAGACUGAAUUAUAUCACUGACUGUCCUGGUUCUUUAGCUUGCAGAUGGCAGAUUCUAUAAUCUCUCUCUCUCUCUCUCUGGCUCUCUCUCUCUGUCUCUCUCUCUCUCUCUCUCUCUAUAUAUAUAUAUGCAUAUGUAUGUAUACACACACACUAUCUAUCUCUAUAUCUCUCUAUAUAUCCUAUUGGUUCUAUUUCCCUGGAGAACACCGACUAAUAGGUCAUGUUAAGAAAAAAGACCUCAAACCUGUAAAUAAAGCCAGGAGAUGAUUUUGAUAUCA